UUUUUAUUGCUGGUGAGGCUUAAUUAAAAAAACAAAACAAGCAAACAAACACCAAAACACCAAAACCAGGGAAAUUCAGUCUACCUGCCCAAAGGUGAGAUUUCUAGUAGGGUUAAAGCCCUAGAUAGUGUUUGUUUAAGUAUCUGUAGCUUAAUAGCUUUCAACAGUAGUCUGUAGCUGAGGAUCUUGAUUGUUCUUGAUUAUGAAGGAAGGCAUAAAGAAUAAUUAUGGGAGGGCAUUUUGAUUUCUGCUACUGCAGUCAUACGUGAAAUGCAUGCCAACACAGAGCAGAGCACCAUGAUCUGACAGAGAGGAGCAUCUGUAUGGAAACUAACUUGAAUUUUCAAAGGGCUCCAGUGUUGAAUCUCAAAUCUUUUCGGCAUCUUUGAAAAUUCACUGAAAAAAUUCAUUACAGGGCAGCUUAGGCUGGGAAGAGGAAACGGAGCAUAUCUUCUGCUGAAGCAUCACGCUGUGAUGAAUGGCCGGUGGGUCUGGUGAGCCAGUUGUCCAUUCCAGUCCUGUCUUUGUGUCUGUAAAUGAGCCAGUGUAUAUUUGAAAGAAUGGGAAGUCGUCUGGAAACUUGAUCCAACUGAUCCAACAAAUAGCUCAUGGGAAGAGCACAGGUC